rnacentral:rRNA from 1 species
UACGUAGGGUGCAAGCGUUGUCCGGAAUUAUUGGGCGUAAAGAGCUCGUAGGCGGUUUGUCGCGUCUGCCGUGAAAGUCCGGGGCUCAACUCCGGAUCUGCGGUGGGUACGGGCAGACUAGAGUGAUGUAGGGGAGACUGGAAUUCCUGGUGUAGCGGUGAAAUGCGCAGAUAUCAGGAAGAACACCAACGGCGAAGGCAGCUCGCUGGGACGGAACUGACGCUGAGGCGCGAAAGCGUGGGGAGCGAACAGG